CAUGCCAAUGGCACUGCCCGGUAGCUAAAUGCGGAAGAGAUAAGUGCUGAAAGCAUCUAAGCACGAAACUUGCCCCGAGAUGAGUUCUCCCUGAGACUUAGAGUCUCCUGAAGGAACGUUGAAGACGACGACGUUGAUAGGCCGGGUGUGUAAGCGCAGCGAUGCGUUGAGCUAACCGGUACUAAUGAACCGUGAGGCUUAACCUUACAACGCCGAAGCUGUU
rnacentral:rRNA from 1 species